UACGUAGGGUGCGAGCGUUGUCCGGAAUUACUGGGCGUAAAGAGCUCGUAGGUGGUUUGUCGCGUUGUCCGUGAAAACUCACAACUCAAUUGUGGGCGUGCGGGCGAUACGGGCAGACUUGGGUACUGCAGGGGAGACUGGAAUUCCUGGUGUAGCGGUGAAAUGCGCAGAUAUCAGGAGGAACACCGGUGGCGAAGGCGGUUCUCUGGGCAUUACCUGACGCUGAGGAGCGAAAGUGUGGGGAGCGAACAGG
rnacentral:rRNA from 1 species